AACGACUUUGAAAUUUGGUUCCAAGUGAAACUGAUUACCAUCCUUCCAAGUUUUACUCCAGAAAUGCUCAAAAAUACAACCACAAACAUCAGCUGCACAAACUACCAAGUCAUUGUGAGUGGGAUGGCUUCAGUUAUCCAGGAGAUGCCACUGUACAGACGACAAGAGAUCACACAUGUUCUGCUGGGCUACCUAAGAAGUACUGAAAAUGCCAUCAAUGAGACAGCUUGCAGGCAACAAAAUGACAGUGAUGCCCAAU